GAGUUUGAUCAUGGUUCAGGACGAACGCUGGCGGCGUGCCUAAUACAUGCAAGUCGAGCGAGCGGAACCAACAGAUUUACUUCGGUAAUGACGUUGGGAAAGCGAGCGGCGGAUGGGUGAGUAACACGUGGGGAACCUGCCCCUAAGUCUGGGAUACCAUUUGGAAACAGGUGCUAAUACCGGAUAAUAAAGCAGAUCGCAUGAUCAGCUUUUGAAAGGCGGCGUAAGCUGUCGCUAAGGGAUGGCCCCGCGGUGCAUUAGCUAGUUGGUAAGGUAACGGCUUACCAAGGCGACGAUGCAUAGCCGAGUUGAGAGACUGAUCGGCCACAUUGGGACUGAGACACGGCCCAAACUCCUACGGGAGGCAGCAGUAGGGAAUCUUCCACAAUGGACGCAAGUCUGAUGGAGCAACGCCGCGUGAGUGAAGAAGGUUUUCGGAUCGUAAAGCUCUGUUGUUGGUGAAGAAGGAUAGAGGUAGUAACUGGCCUUUAUUUGACGGUAAUCAACCAGAAAGUCACGGCUAACUACGUGCCAGCAGCCGCGGUAAUACGUAGGUGG
rnacentral:rRNA from 1 species